UACGGAGGUGGCAAGCGUUGUCCGGAAUCAUUGGGCGUAAAGAGCGUGUAGGCGGCCAGAAAAGUCCGCUGUGAAAACUCGAGGCUCAACUUCGAGCUGUCGGUGGAAACUUUCUGGCUAGAGUCCGGAAGAGGAGAAUGGAAUUCCUGGUGUAGCGGUGAAAUGCGCAGAUAUCAGGAAGAACACCCGUGGCGAAGGCGGUUCUCUGGGACGGUACUGACGCUGAGACGCGAAAGCGUGGGGAGCGAACAGG
rnacentral:rRNA from 1 species